rnacentral:lncRNA from 1 species
AAAGAUUACAAGGUGAUUACCGACUCCACGGACUCAACCUCUCUUAACCUCCUAUGAAUCUCGCGCAAUCCUCCGGGUUGUCCACGCCCUCACGUUCGAAUCCACGAACAUCUCGCACACGUCCGAAUCCACAAACGCCACUCGAAUCCACGAGCCCACGAUCCGAAUCCACGAACCGCCGUCAAUCACGCCGAAUCCACGACGCCAUCAUGAAGAACGUCAUGAGUAUGGUGAUCCUUCGCUUAGAGUAUCGAUGAAAAUCAAGGAAGAAGACUUCAAGCGAAGACUAGAUCAAAUCGACAUAUAGCGAAUGCGAAACGAUACCUCGAUUUGAUCUAAAGAGGCUAAUUUGUAGAAAAUAGGUUUAGAACGAAAUACUAGCCUCUAGGGUUCUUUAAUUGUGUAUUCUUAUGAUAGAUGAUCGAUUAGAGAACCCCUAUAGCUUAUUUAUAGACUUUAGAAUCAAAACGGAGUAGGAUUAGAAAGUUUCUUUCCGUAUUCAGCACCUUGUACCGGUACACGGGAAGCUGUCCAGGGUACAGCAUGACGGAAGAUUUUUCUACAAAGCUUCUGUACCCUGAACAGACUGCAGCUUAUUCCGGAACAAGGCUUGUACCGGUACAGCCAUGAUGGUUGUACCGGAACAACCAUCGUAAUUCCCUGCGGCAAUAGCCGUUGUCUGUACCGGUACAGAAAAACCCUUGUACCGGUACAAUAAUGCAAUUUUCGCUGAAAAUGCAUUGUUUCGAGUUUUACAAGCUCUUAAAAACUUUCUAAUCAAUUACAACUUGAAAAUUAUGAUUCUAAGAUCUAAAAUUAAGUAUGAAUCACCAUAAACAAGAUUUAAAGCUUACCUAAGUAUUGUGAUUCAAGUUUUGCGUGUUUUGCGUCCUUUCCGAUUCUUUGAAGUCUUAGAUUCUUCGAUCUUCAAUACUCCACUCCGGACUUCUUCAGGACUCCGACUCGACCCAUGAAACUUGCCAACACAUGGGACCUAACAAUCUCCCCCUUUGGCAAUUUCGUAACAAAACACACUCAAAACACAAACAUUACAUUUAAAGAAAAGACGAAGUUCAAUUGUCAUCACCAAAACAAUGAACCUAUCGCGUGUAAUCCAAAUACAAAUUAAAACUCAAAAUACAUUCAAAACUCCUAAAACAGACUCUAUGACUUAGACGCAACUAGGAGUCUUGAAGUCUUGAAAUCCUGCAAAACAUUCCACAAUAAUAUAAAGUUUUACAUUCAAUUGAUUCUUUUACCAUUCUCCCCCUUUGUUCAUCACUUCUCCCCUUUGUUUCGUGAACCUGUUCAUCACUUCUCCCCUUUGUUUCGUGAACCUGUUCAUCACUUCUCCCCUUUGUUCGUGAACCUGUUCAUCUCGUGUCACGCCCCGGGACCGGCGGAGGCCCUCCCGGUAGCGUGCCCAAACCCGCCAUAUGUCUACACAUAUAAGGCGUCUACAAUAAAAGCGGAAGUAAAAGCAAGAAAUAGAAUAAAUAGAAGAAGUGAAAUAACUAGCAACUAAUGAUAUCAGAGCGAGUAAAGUUCUAGCAUCUACACCAAAGUAAAUAAGUAAAGCUAGACAAUAAAAAAAAUCAUAAGUAGUACAAUAACUGUCUCUAGUACAAAAAUGGUGGUCUCUAGUACACUGGUAAAACCCUCAACCUCUCGCCAAAAAGAAACACAUCGAGAGGUAGACCACCUAAACUCGUCUCUCGCUGAAGGGCUAACUCGAAGCGACGCCCUUACCACGGUCCCUAGCCUCUCCCGGCGUGGAAGGCUCUGAAAGAAAACAUAAAACAGAGGGCGUGAGAACUAUAAUUUAUAGUUCCCAGUGGGCAAUUACUGACCUCAGCUCAUUGCACCACUAGGCCCAAAAGAAAAGGGUAAGUCAAAAGCGAUAGUCAUAACGAGUAAUUGCAACUAUGAAAGCAUAAUGAAAUACUAAAAUAUUACUUGCGACUAAACAUGGCAUUUAUGUAAUGCACGAUUAUCCUGUCAUGAAGAGUAUGUCUCUACUUAGCCAUAAAUAAUGUCAUGGUUUGCUUAAAUGAAAUUAUGAGGAUUAUCCCUUAUCAUAGCAACAUUGUUUAUAUGAAUGCAAUUAAACACUGCCUCCUAGCAUACUACAUGUAUGUAUGUAUAUCCAAAGUCCAAACCUACGCUAGAAGCAAGUCCGAGUAAUCCAACUACCACUCUCUAUUUAGUAGUGAUUAUAACAAACUCAUCCCGUGUCGAUUUCCAUUUCCAAUUAGGGACCUACCAAGGGUAGUCCAGCUUGUGCCGCCUAAGUGCCUGUGGUAGCCCAACAUCCCUACUCUUGGAAUGUGUCUGUCCCACUCGACCCCGUAGGCUUCUCAAUACCGCACGAGCGAACAUAAGUCGCGUAGGCUAACUCCGGAGUGCCGGCUUGUAGGGAGCGACCCUCACAAGCAUGUGCGAAUGAGCACAAAUGGCAAGCAAGCAUAGUCCAAGUCUCAAGUAUCCAAUCCUCAUGUCUCUAAGUGAUGUCCCAACACUCACUUGCUUAGUGCCUCUUUAUGACACUUAAGCAUCACAACAGAUCAAGCCCAAAUCUUGUUCUAUGUUUCCAUUAAAACAUCAAUACCAAUGAUUACCAUGACCCGGGCCCCAAUGCCACUUUAUGACAUUGUCCCAAUUCUCAAAUAGUCCAAGUUCCCAAGCCCUCUCUAGGCUCCUAACAUUCCUAAUGUCACAUUUGGCAUAUAGGUUAAAUGCAUGAAAGCAAGGUUUAUUUACAUAAUAAGGAUCAUGGUUCCCAAUUAUAAAUAGAAUGCUAAGUCUCACAUGCAUGCACUCUACCACAUAGGGGUCUAAAAUUUCACUAUACAUAAUAUAUGCAUGUUAAGCAUUCUAAAAUUCAUAUUAAAUACAUUUAACAAGGAAAUGCAUGAAUUUCUAUUUUACGAAACAUAUUUGCCAAAUAUGAGCAUUUCUCAUAUCAUAGGCUAGGUCAAACCCACCGAACCGUCGCGUGCUCCUUCGAUUCGCCGAACGGAGUUGUCCACGAGUCUCAAAGUACCCUAAAAGUGAUCAGCGAAGAGAUACGAGGGCAUUACGACCAACCAUAAGAUCAAACAUUAACCUAGAAGCAAAAAGGGCCAAAACUCACCUCAAGAGAAGAAAUCUCUUCCAAAGCUCCAAAAGAGAGCUAGAACCCUUCCAAUCCAAGCCCAAGGAAGGUUCUAAACCAAUUAAUCUAGCCUCAAAAGCCCUAGAUCAAAAAGCCCCAAAAUCAACCCUAAAUCUCAUUUCUAGGGUUCCAUCUACAAAAACUAUCAAAACAAGAUCUAGAGGAGGGAAAUGAGCAACAAACCUCCUUAGAAGCUCCAAUCCUAGCUCCAAGGGUGAAGAUCUCCUCCUAUGCAAGCUCCAAGUCCAAGCCUUCAAGCACCAACAAGGUGGGAAGAGGAAGAGAGGCAAAAGAAUGCUCCAAGCCCAAGCUAGAUCCUCCUCUUCUUCUCCUCCUUCCUCUCCUUCUCCUUCUUCUUCUUCUUCUCUAUCAAGGGUGUAGAGAGGGUUGAGAGAAGAGAAAUGGGGAGAGGAGAGAGUGGAUGGGUCAUAUAGACCCUCUAAUGUAACAAAAUCCCAAGAGGCCCCUCAAAAAAACAGUAUUACAUCAGCCCGGUCUGGGCAGUUUUCGCCCAGAGGGACCGGUCUCUCCCCAGCAGGGACCGGUCUCUCGCUGCGAACCCGAAAAACCAACGUUCGGGAACCGGUCUCUCCCUGCGCGGGACCGGUUUCUCACUGCGUAGACGCGCUCGGGGACCGGUCUCGCCCGCCAGGGACCGGUUGCCUCAGGGCUGCCGCAGCAUUGCUCACUGGGGGACCGGUCUCUCCUUUUAGGGACCGGUCCCCGAGAGUAAAAACUCUCAGGACUGUCCAGAAUUUCAGUUUUCGAACUUUUUAGGUCGAAAAGCAUUCUACAACCCUCCCCCAAGUGUGAAAAAGCUCGAAAUACAUCCAAACACUCGAACCGUGCAAUUUGCAAAGGUCCAGUGCGUCACAUCUCGUGAUCUCCCCAUUUUUGUCAGAAAAUUGCCAAAUAACUUAAAAAGAGAAAAUCCACUAGAAAGAAACAUCAAAGUUAAAAUAUAAAUACAGGCCUAAGAGAGAAAGCAAUAAAUACAAGUAGAAGUGUAAACUAAACAUGAAAACAUAAACCUAAGAUAAAAUAUGAAGCUCUAGAAAACAUCACUCUGUGUCCUCGUCGUUGUCAUCCUCUGCGCCAGCACCAGAUCCAGAUGCUCCAGCGUCUAACGCACCUGUCGCAGGAGGAAUGAGUGGAUGUCGGGAAGAUGACCGCUGAUACGAGGCAUAAGAUGGAGUAGGCUCCCAAAUAUCAUCAUGUCGACACCCCAUCUUAUCCAUCAUUCUUUUGAUACUUAAUUCAAACUUCUUGAUGCUUGACUCAACUUUUCUCCCAAUAUUGUUCACCUUCUUCUUUAAUUUUCGCAAAUCCUCUUUAACUGAUUCCAACGUCGUCGCUCCCCCCGAACUAGAUGAAGUAUCAUAACUCCCUCGGGAUGGAGGCGGAGGAGCAGAGCUAGAAGCUGCUCUCGGUGGAGGUGCUGGGCUAGAUGCUUCAGGAGGUGGCCCCUUGGUCUGAUGGAAUGACUUGAGAGUGCUAACAGACUUAGCCCAAGUCACUGAAUCAAUAGGCCCAAGGCCAACAUCAUACUUGUCACAUGAUGUAUCUACUCCAUUUGCUUGUAGAAUCCUCGUAAUCAGAACAGGGAAUGGAAGUAGAUCCCGUCGAGUGGCACCCUGAAUCACGUGUAUCAUCCUUUGCCAGAUCAGAAACGGGAUGUUGAUGUUCAACCCACAAGCCUGCUCGGGAUGACCAAGAAGAUAUAGCAAUACUAAUCUCUCCCAACGGAUCCUCUUCGUGCCGAUGGUUGGUUGAACAUUGUAGCUCAUGACCAAAGAUAGCAAGUGGUACUCAGGUAAUAAAUCCUUGGAUUCUAUGUAACCAUGAGUCAUGUGAACACUGGCCUUGCAUAUAGCUCCAAGAACGAUAUCCAUGUGAAUUGACGAUUGGAAUCCUCCUGAUGUAUAGAGAAGACCUGUAGUAUCCACACGCAUUCCCAAGAUCUCUCCAAUAGUAUAGGGGGUAACUGGGACUCUCUUUCUACGCACAACAAUCUCGAAAAGAAAAGUGCCAGUCUCCUCGUCUUCAGCAAGUACCUUUCCAUUCAUAUAGAACUCCCAAAUGAGUUCCACACAGAAGGGAGCCUUGGCAGGGACCCGUCCAACUGGCCAAUAGGUGCGCGUUGUAGCAGUCGUCCAAAAUCAGGAACAUCCCGAAUCAGGUCAUUGAAGUUCACGAAGCGUUCAGCUAUGCACGACUUCGACAUAUAUAACCUUUGUCGUGCUGGAGGGACAUCCGCAGCUUGUUUUGUACGUCCCUCACGCGUACGAGAACCACCGCCAUGAGAUGAUUCGCCCACAACACCCUUUCCUUUAGCAGCUCGAGUCGCCGCUUCUUCUGUUUCUUCCUGUGAGCUUGCUUGAUACUCCGGAUCUGAACCGGACUCUCCUGUAGCAGCAUGGGCUCUCUUUGAGGUCCCUCGGCGACCUCGAUCACGUCUACGACCGCUGCCCGCGGCCAUAAGCACCGUCAACACCAACACGAGGAAAAACGCCAUUUUCCUACACCAAAAACAGCAUACAUGGGUAAAAUUUUGAAAACAUUUGUAAAAAUUAGCAAGUAAAUUUCAAAUAUCCUUAGAAUGCAUACUAAUGCUAUUUCAAACCAAUUCAUGCAAAAAAAAUUCAGCAAAAAUCGAAAUUUUUUGAAAAAAUCCCGAAACUACAUGCAUAUUAAAGCAUAAAACUUAGAUCAGCAAAAAAUAACUUGUUUUGAUGUUGUUCAAGUGUUCUACAAGCAAGGUAAUGCCCUAAAACACUGAUCUAUAGCAAAAAAUUGCAUAAAAAACGAAUCAAAUUAGAGAUCAAACUAUAUCUCGAAAUUUUCUGAAAAAUAGGCAAAAACGAGGUUGAAUCAUGAAGUCCGAGCUAAAUACUUACAAAUCUAAGGGGGAAAGCAGUAGAUCUGGAGGAGGAAGAUCCCAGGAGCUCUCAUGACAAGAAAAAUGGUGAUUUAGUUUCGAUUUGAGGCAAAAACGAAGCGCUAUACCCGGUUAUAAGCCGCUCGGGUAUAGACCUUGUAUCGGUACACGGGUCUUGUACCGGUACAAGGACCAAAAUAUGAAAAAAAAAAUUUGAAAAUUAUGGUUUAAAAAUCCAUCAAAUUUAAAUUAAUUUCAUACAAAUUAAGGAUUUUACUCUAAAAAAUCAUAAAAAUGAGAAUAAAUUAUUAUAAGAUUUCAAAAUACAUUUAAACAUCAAAAUUUCAUUAUCAAAAUUGAUCUCAAGUUUCAAAAUCAUCAAGAUGUAACGGUUUACGAAAAAUGAUUUUUUAGAAAUUCGGCAAAAUUGACACCAAUUUGUCGCAAUCCGUUCAAAAUAGAGAUUUAACUAAUAUGAUACCGGGGGUGGCUCUUUGAGCAUCUUUUUAUUUUUUUUUUCAAACUAACACCUUAUAACUCCGAAAAUUCUAAAAUAUUCAAUAUUUUUCAACCUUUUUCGGUUAAUCAAUUCAAUCUUCAUGUGGUAGCUUCACACACUUGCCGGAUGACCGGGGUGGUAGCUCUUUUCUAUAUGUGGUAGUAGUUUUCACACUCCUUUUGGAUGUAACUCUUUCCACAUCUUUUUAAACAUAGGAGUUUUUUUCCUUUUUCUUUAAUAAUUUCAAACUCCCCCUAAAUUAGACAAUCUCACAAUUGAAAAUAUUUUGAGAAAUUUUAGUCUAUUAGCGAAUAUCCAUCUAUCAUAUUCAAACACACAACCAAGAUAGAUUAAUCACCAAGAGAUCAAAUUUGAUUUCAAAAUUUUGAUAAAUAUAUGUAUUACGAAAUCAUAUAUUGAAUUAUCAUUAAAAUAAUAAAAAAUAGAGUAAAAACGAUAAUUAAUAUAAAUUUAACUUAAUAUGAUUGUAAAGUUAAACACCGUUUAAACAACUUUGGAAAAUUUCUCUCCUUAAAAUAAUUAUUCUCAAUCAUCUCCUCUCUCAAAGAAAAAAUUUUUAAAUUCUUAAACACCUUUCCUCAAAUCAAUUUUAAAAACAACUUUCACCCACGAAAAUCAUCAUGUAAUGCAAUGAAUAAAAAUAUGCAACAAACAUCUAUCAAAGCACUACACAAUAAAUUAAAAACAACUAAGACGAGAACCAAGGAAAGAUAUCACCUUUCCGGAUCCAAACUUGUCGGAUCUUUGGUUUUCUCGACUUGUCGACGUUUGGUGUCAUUUGCUUAGAUUUUAGAUCAACCGUUGGUGUUUUCUUCGCUUGAGGCCUUGUUUGAAUUUGUCGUUUUGCAUUAGACAUCCGGUUUGCUUGUGGCUUAGGUAGAACUUGGCGUUGCGGUUUAGAAUUCCGAUUCUUUUGAGGUACUCGACUCACUUGAUUUUUCUUUUGAUUCCACGGGGGAAGUCGAGUUGUAGAUGAUGCCGCUUGAGCUUUAGGAGUUGUCGAAUGAUGUGAAGACCUUGCCGAUUGAUUCAUCUUUUCUUUGUUUGGGCAAUUCCUUUUCAUGUAUCCUUUGACGCCACAUCGAUGACAUGCCUUGUCUUUCAAAGUUGUUGAGACUUUCAAAAUUGAUUUAGAACUCUUCUCCACAAGAACUCUUNCCAAGGAAAGAUAUCACCUUUCCGGAUCCAAACUUGUCGGAUCUUUGGUUUUCUCGACUUGUCGACGUUUGGUGUCAUUUGCUUAGAUUUUAGAUCAACCGUUGGUGUUUUCUUCGCUUGAGGCCUUGUUUGAAUUUGUCGUUUUGCAUUAGACAUCCGGUUUGCUUGUGGCUUAGGUAGAACUUGGCGUUGCGGUUUAGAAUUCCGAUUCUUUUGAGGUACUCGACUCACUUGAUUUUUCUUUUGAUUCCACGGGGGAAGUCGAGUUGUAGAUGAUGCCGCUUGAGCUUUAGGAGUUGUCGAAUGAUGUGAAGACCUUGCCGAUUGAUUCAUCUUUUCUUUGUUUGGGCAAUUCCUUUUCAUGUAUCCUUUGACGCCACAUCGAUGACAUGCCUUGUCUUUCAAAGUUGUUGAGACUUUCAAAAUUGAUUUAGAACUCUUCUCCACAAGAACUCUUUCAUAUCCGAGGCCUAACUUAUCUGUUUGACCCAACCCGAGCAUAUGGUUUAAUUUCUUCGAUCCCGAUGAGAACUUUUGUAUGUCGGAUUGAUGUUGACGAACUUGAUUGGUCAAUGACUUGUUGGAUGUAUGCGAUUCCUCGAAUUGUUGUUCCAAAAAUCCAACCUUGUCUUUAUACGAUUUGAUCGUUGAUUCCGCUUCAUUAAGCUUCUCUAGAAGGUCCGAAUUAUUUUUCAAAAUUGAUUCCCUUUCCUCCUCGAGGCCUUUGUUCGUGAUCUUCAAGUUGUUGUUUUCCUCUUCGAGAUUCAACAAACGACGCCUCAACUUCUUAUUUAGUUUAGCCAUCUUCUUUGAUUCAAUAAGAAGUUGAUUGUAUGCUUCCGCUAUAUCCUCGUCGUUCGAUUCCUCCUCGCUUUCAUCGUUAUCACUCGAAGACACAUGCGAAGAAGUAGACAAAUUGGAAUUAGACAUUAUAGAGGAUAAACACACAACGUUAGACGAAGGCAAAGUAGAUUUAGCAAAUAAAGCAAGAUUUCCAUUCUUUUCUUCGUCACUUGAGCUUGAUUCACUUGAAGUUGUAUCAUCCCACGUCUUUGCUUGCAAUGCCUUCUUAGUAUACGAUUUCUUUAAAGGACAAUCCGUUGCGAUGUGACCGUAGCCUUUGCACUUGUCGCAUCGGAUCUCGCCUUCAAACACAUCCUUUUUUUUAGAAGCCUUUGCACGCUUCUUCUCGUUAGAAGAUGAAGACUUAGAAAACGUUUGUUGCUUAGAUAAUGUAGCCUUGUCAUUCUUGUGCUUGUUCCGAAAAUUUCGACGAAACUUCUUCGUUAAUAGUGCAAGUUGAUGUUCGAAAUCAGCAAGAGAAACAUCUUCAUCGAAAUUUGAAUCCUCAUCUUCUUCCUUCGUCGACUUUAAUGCAAUCCCUGUGCUUUUAGAAAAAGACUUGGAAGAAGAUUGAUUAGUAGGAAAAGUCAUCUCAUAAGUUUGUAAAGCACCUACUAAUUCUUCGACUUUUAUCUCGUCCGGAUGCUUAACCGUUUCGAUCGCGGCAACUUUUGCCCGAAAGCGUUCCGGAAGAGUACGAAGGAUCUUUCUAACCACUUUUGAAUCCGGGAUUUUCUCUCCCAAGUUAGCGCAAGUAUUGACUACGUCUUGUAGACACGUAUAGUACUCGGUAAAGGUCUCGUUUUCAUCCAUACAAAUAGAAUCAAACUUGCUUGUUAGCAUUUGCAAUUUUUGGACCUUUACUAAGCUCGUUCCUUCAUGCGUAACUUGUAGAGUAUCCCAAAUCUUCUUGGCGGCUUCACACGCCGAAACACGAGUAAACUCCGUUUAUGACAAUGCAUUAAAUAAAGCGUUUAUGCCCUUGCCAUUAAACGAAGAUGACUCGUUUUCAUCUUUGGUCCACUUGUUUCGUGGUUUAGGCGUUUCAACAUUAUCGACUUUUUCAAUGGGAUGUUUCCAUCCAAAUUCUAUGGAUUGCCAUACUCGCUCAUCGAUUGCAAUUAGAAAAGCUCUCAUGCGAACUUUCCAAUAGACAUAAUUAGUGCCGUCGAAGAGCGCAGGUCGAUUAAUGUUACCGCCUUCGGCCAUUAGAUAGCAAUAUAUCUAGAUCCCGUAUCUGAUACCAAUUGAAGGUUCUAAAAUAACCCAAGGAUCUAUCUAGAUUGUAUCUAUCACAUAGAGGGGGGUGAAUAGGUGAAAAAACCAAAAACCACAAAUCUCAAUGCGAUAAAAAUAAAUGCUGAAAAUAAAAAUCACACCGAGAUUUACGUGAGAAAACUUCAACUUGGAGAAAAACCUAUGGGACCAACACGCGAAAAAAUAAUUCACUAAGAGAAAAGAUUACAAGGUGAUUACCGACUCCAUGGACUCAACCUCUCUUAACCUUCUAUGAAUCUCGCGCAAUCCUCCGGGUUGUCCACGCCCUCACGUUCGAAUCCACGAACAUCUCGCACACGUCCGAAUCCACAAACGCCACUCGAAUCCACGAGCCCACGAUCCGAAUCCACGAACCGCCGUCAAUCACGCCGAAUCCACGACGCCAUC